UGCACUUCUGGAGGAUGCCUGCAUCAGGUGCAACAGGUGCAUGAAACCUGAAAGACAAGAAACUCUAUUCAUGAAGGAGAUGCCAAAAGGUCUUUUGCAGAUCCUAGAGGGAAUUCCUCUCUGGACCUUUUCCCCCCCACCUUCUUUUUUUCACAGUGAACUGAAAUCUGAGGAAAGGAGACUCUUGAGCACAAAUAGCUGUUCCUCUGCAGACUUCACCUACUAACACCCCUGGGACUACAGAGACCACACCAGACUCACUCAGCUGUCCUAACCAUCCAGCCUCAUCACUAGUGGCAGGAUUAUGCCCCAAGUUUUCACAACCCUUUGCUGCUCAGACAUCAUUCCUAAAUGACCUUACAGGUAAAAUGAUGACACAUCAUUUAAUGGAUAACAGGAGAAGAAAGAGUUAAUCUCUGCUUCUCCUGUUGUAACAUGGAGCAAUCGCAAAAUCAAAGGAAGUGACUCACCACAAGGAGUUCGAUCGGGAUAGGAGUUGGUAACUUUUCCUUGUAUCGAUCGUUUAUUUCUUUUACCACAAACACGAUAAGCAAGACAAUCAGUGAUGUGACAAGGUCAGCAAUGUUUGUAUUUGUGAUCUGGCUGAAAACGCUCUCCAGAGUCUGCAGAAUCAGGAAGAAACGUGGUGCUUCAGAAACAGUCAUGCCCUGGCACAGUAGCACUAUCCCUCCCAGAAGAACCUGUAUCUGAACAGCUCUAAGGAUUGUUCUGUUUGGGAUUUAUUCCCUAUGGCAUGAUGUGGACUGCAAGCCCCCAUCAAUGUGUGUGCAUCUGCCAAAUGAUGGAACCAUGUGCAAGAGACCCUUUCCACUAACUUGUCACCCUCUCCUCCAGAUUUGCCCCUGAAGGAGGGUUGAAACAACAGGCAUGUCCAUUGCUCACACUGGCAUUGCUGGGCACACACCUUUCUCCACUCCCUCCUUCCUGUCCUUCUUCUCUCUCCUUUCUCAUCCAACAGCCCUUACACAGUCAUAUACAAAUUAAGUAUGUAUA